rnacentral:rRNA from 1 species
AGAAUGAACGCUGGCGGCGUGCUUUACACAUGCAAGUCGAGCGAGGCGGCCCGCAAGGGUCAGUCGAGCGGCGAACGGGUGAGUAACGCGUGGAUAACCUGCCCUUCAGCGGGGAAUAACCCGGGGAAACUCGGGCUAAUACCGCAUACGACCGAAAGGUGAAAGGAGGCUCGCAAGAGCUUUCACUGAAGGAGGGGUCCGCGUUCGAUUAGCUUAGUUGGUAGGUAAUGGCCUACCAAGGCGACGAUCGAUAGCCGGCCUGAGAGGGUGAGUCGGCCACACGUAGGACUGAGACACGGUCCAGACUCCGUACGGGAGGACAGCAGGUAGGGGUAAUUUUGCGCGAAGUGGGCGGAGGCCUGACGCAGCGAACGCCGCGU